rnacentral:snRNA from 14 species
UUAUUGACCUGGCAGGGGAGAUCCCCUUCUUCUCAGCCUUGAAGGACUUGGUGCUGUUAGAGGGUGAAGGCCUGUCCCUUGCACUGCGGGCAGGCUGACCCCUGCCAGAGUCUACCAAAGCCUCCCAAUGGGAGGAUCUCAGCUACACAAUUUAUGGCGAGGGGGGAUUGCUCUCCGGCUUUCCCCCU